CGGGGCUGCUUACACUCUCUGUGCUGCUGAGGCUGAGCCACCUGUCAGGCUGUGAGUGACCGUUGGCUGUGAGUGACUGUUGGGCUGGAUGUGUGAGGCAGCAGCGCAGGGUUUCCGCAGCCUGUGCACAGGGCCGUAUUAACCCAUGGCUGGACCCUAGGAUUUCAGGUAUAUCGGGCUCCCUCCGGCACUUCAAUCUUUUACCCCACUACAGCUGACAUUUGGGAAGCAGGGCUUAUGCCAUCAUUCACAGUAUUCACACGGACCCCGAUACCCAGUUGCAAUAAAGGGGUCGAUGUACUAAGCCUUGGAGAGAGACAAAGUGAACGGUGAUAAAGCACCAGGCAAUCAGCUCCUAACUGCCAUGUACUGCGCAAGGUCAACCAGCUCCAGGGACAAUUCUGUGCAGUCAGUGAUUUUCUCUGCUCAGGCGACAGGAUAACUCCAACUUUGAUUGAUCCUGACUUGCCUAUAGAUAAAAGGAUUCAUUAUGGCCGGCACCCGGAGAAACUAUAGAAAAGUGUGAACACUCUCUGCGGAGCAAGGAGGAGGAAAAAAAGAGCACACAGGCAAGGGGAGAACAUACAAACUCCACACAGUAAGACUCUGGUCGGUGUUGCACCCAAGGCCUCAGGGGUGUAAGGCAGAAAUGCUGCCCGACAUAUUCAUAGCAUCGCUAUUAAGCAUUACAACUGUGUCUUAUUCUAAGAAAUGAUGGAUGUUUGGCGUCUUAUAACUAAACCAAGCGCACUUACAUGUA